AGAGUUUGAUCCUGGCUCAGAAUCAACGCUGGCGGCGUGCCUAACACAUGCAAGUCGAACGAGAAAGGAUCUUUCGGGAUCCAAGUAGAGUGGCGAACGGGUGAGUAACGCGUGGGUGAUCUACCCUUUGGAGUGGGAUAACUCGGGGAAACCCGGGCUAAUACCGCAUAAGCCUGGGGGGUUAAAGGCCCUCAGGGAAAGUGGAGACAUGCCGAAGGAGGAGCCUGCGUCCGAUUAGCUAGUUGGUGAGGUAAGGGCUCACCAAGGCGACGAUCGGUAGCCGGUCUGAGAGGACGGACGGCCACACUGGGACUGAGACACGGCCCAGACUCCUACGGGAGGCAGCAGUGGGGAAUUUUGGGCAAUGGGCGCAAGCCUGACCCAGCAACGCCGCGUGGAGGACGAAGAUUUUCGGAUCGUAAACUCCUGUCUAGAGGGACGAAGCAAGUGACGGUACCUCUGGAGGAAGCCCCGGCUAACUCCGUGCCAGCAGCCGCGGUAAUACGGGGGGGGCGAGCGUUGUUCGGAAUUACUGGGCGUAAAGGGCGCGUAGGCGGCUUCGGAAGUCAUCGGUGAAAGUCCUCGGCUCAACCGAGGGAUUGUCGGUGAAACCACGGAGCUGGAGUGCUGGAGAGGAGAGUGGAAUUCCCAGUGUAGCGGUGAAAUGCGUAGAGAUUGGGAGGAACACCGGUGGCGAAGGCGACACUCUGGACGAAUACUGACGCUGAGGCGCGAAAGCGUGGGGAGCAAACAGGAUUAGAUACCCUGGUAGUCCACGCCGUAAACGAUGUGAACUAGAGGUAGGUGGUGUUGAUCCCAUCUGUCUCGCAGCUAACGCAUUAAGUUCACCGCCUGGGGAGUACGGUCGCAAGAUUAAAACUCAAAGGAAUUGACGG
rnacentral:rRNA from 1 species